rnacentral:rRNA from 1 species
AUCUGGCCUCGAAUCAGGUGGGAUUACCCGCUGAACUUAAGCAUAUCAAUAAGCGGAGGAAAAGAAACUAACAAGGAUUCCCCUAGUAACGGCGAGUGAAGCGGGAUGAGCUCAAAUUUAAAAUCUGGUAGUCUUUUUUGGCUCCCCGAAUUGUAAUCUAGAGAAGUGUUUUCUGUGCUGGACUGUGUACAAGUUUCCUGGAUACGGAACAUCAUAGAGGGUGAGAAUCCCGUCCUUGACACAGACUCCCAGUGCUUUGUGAUGCACUCUCGACGAGUCGAGUUGUUUGGGAUUGCAGCUCAAAAUGGGAGGUAAAUUCCUUCUAAAGCUAAAUAUUGGCGAGAGACCGAUAGCGAACAAGUACCGUGAGGGAAAGAUGAAAAGCACUUUGGAAAGAGAGUUAAACAGUACGUGAAAUUGUUAAAAGGGAAACGAUUGAAGUCAGUCGCGUCUACUUUGGACUCAGCCUUGCUUCGGCUUGGUGCAUUUCCUUAUGGACGGGCCAGUGUUCAUGUUGGUUACUGGAAAAAGUACAAGGGAAUGUGGCUCCUUUUUUGGGAGUGUUAUAGCCCUUGUUCAUUAUACAGUGGCUGAUAUGGAGUGGUACAGCAUGCUUCGGCGGUGCUUGUGCUGGCAUAAUGGCUUUAAGCGACCCGUCUUGAAACACGGACCAAGGAGUCUAACAUGUCUGCGAGUAUUUGAGUGAUAAACUCAAGUGCGUAAUGAAAGUGAUAGCUGGGAACCCCCUAAAUUUGGGGAGGCACCGGUACCCCGAGCGGAUCUUCUGUGAUGCAUCGGAGGUAGAGCAUAUAUGUUGGGACCCGAAAGAUGGUGAACUACGCCUGAAUAGGGUGAAGC